rnacentral:rRNA from 1 species
GAUGAACGCUGGCGGCGUGCCUAAUACAUGCAAGUCGAGCGAACGGACGAGAAGCUUGCUUCUCUGAUGUUAGCGGCGGACGGGUGAGUAACACGUGGAUAACCUACCUAUAAGACUGGGAUAACUUCGGGAAACCGGAGCUAAUACCGGAUAAUAUUUUGAACCGCAUGGUUCAAAAGUGAAAGACGGUCUUGCUGUCACUUAUAGAUGGAUCCGCGCUGCAUUAGCUAGUUGGUAAGGUAACGGCUUACCAAGGCAACGAUACGUAGCCGACCUGAGAGGGUGAUCGGCCACACUGGAACUGAGACACGGUCCAGACUCCUACGGGAGGCAGCAGUAGGGAAUCUUCCGCAAUGGGCGAAAGCCUGACGGAGCAACGCCGCGUGAGUGAUGAAGGUCUUCGGAUCGUAAAACUCUGUUAUUAGGGAAGAACAAACGUGUAAGUAACUGUGCACGUCUUGACGGUACCUAAUCAGAAAGCCACGGCUAACUACGUGCCAGCAGCCGCGGUAAUACGUAGGUGGCAAGCGUUAUCCGGAAUUAUUGGGCGUAAAGCGCGCGUAGGCGGUUUUUUAAGUCUGAUGUGAAAGCCCACGGCUCAACCGUGGAGGGUCAUUGGAAACUGGAAAACUUGAGUGCAGAAGAGGAAAGUGGAAUUCCAUGUGUAGCGGUGAAAUGCGCAGAGAUAUGGAGGAACACCAGUAGCGAAGGCGACUUUCUGGUCUGUAACUGACGCUGAUGUGCGAAAGCGUGGGGAUCAAACAGGAUUAGAUACCCUGGUAGUCCACGCCGUAAACGAUGAGUGCUAAGUGUUAGGGGGUUUCCGCCCCUUAGUGCUGCAGCUAACGCAUUAAGCACUCCGCCUGGGGAGUACGACCGCAAGGUUGAAACUCAAAGGAAUUGACGGGGACCCGCACAAGCGGUGGAGCAUGUGGUUUAAUUCGAAGCAACGCGAAGAACCUUACCAAAUCUUGACAUCCUUUGACCCUUCUAGAGAUAGAAGUUUCCCCUUCGGGGGACAAAGUGACAGGUGGUGCAUGGUUGUCGUCAGCUCGUGUCGUGAGAUGUUGGGUUAAGUCCCGCAACGAGCGCAACCCUUAAGCUUAGUUGCCAUCAUUAAGUUGGGCACUCUAAGUUGACUGCCGGUGACAAACCGGAGGAAGGUGGGGAUGACGUCAAAUCAUCAUGCCCCUUAUGAUUUGGGCUACACACGUGCUACAAUGGACAAUACAAAGGGCAGCGAAACCGCGAGGUCAAGCAAAUCCCAUAAAGUUGUUCUCAGUUCGGAUUGUAGUCUGCAACUCGACUACAUGAAGCUGGAAUCGCUAGUAAUCGUAGAUCAGCAUGCUACGGUGAAUACGUUCCCGGGUCU